GACACUGUGGCUCAGUGGUUGAGCAUCUGCUUGGCAUGAAAAAGAUCCCAGGUUCAAUCCCCGGCACUGCCA
rnacentral:tRNA from 1 species